CUCGUAGGCGGCCAACUAAGUCAGACGUGAAAUCCCUCGGCUUAACCGGGGAACUGCGUCUGAUACUGAAUGGCUUGAGUUUGGGAGAGGGAUGCGGAAUUCCAGGUGUAGCGGUGAAAUGCGUAGAUAUCUGGAGGAACACCGGUGGCGAAGGCGGCAUCCUGGACCAACACUGACGCUGAGUGAGCGAAAGCCAGGGGAGCAAACG
rnacentral:rRNA from 1 species